AAGUUCAAUUCAGCUUUCAGCCGUGUUUAGCGCUGCGUGAGUAGUGGAGAGAAUUGCUUCUUGCAUCCCUUUUAUUUAUAAAUUCUUUUAAUUUUGUUUCAAGGGCAUUGAUAAAUUGCCAAAUUGUAAAAGAUUUUAUGUAUUCUUUCUGUUUCAACUUUCGCCCGUGGAUGGUGGUCUUUGAUUCGAAGUUUGUUUAUGGAAGAGGAAAAAGAAGUAUAUGGGGAGAAAUAAAGUUGUGGCAGACGUGUAUUUGACGAGUGAAGGAUAGGUGUUAAGGACGAGGCAAAGGAUUUUUCUGAAGAAAUUUCAAAAGCACAACAGAUUAUGCGGU